rnacentral:rRNA from 1 species
GAUCCUGGCUCAGGAUGAACGCUAGCGACAGGCUUAACACAUGCAAGUCGAGGGGCAGCGAGGGCGUAGCAAUACGCCUGUCGGCGACCGGCGCACUGGUGAGUAACACGUAUGCGACCUGCCCCCUACAGGGGUAUAACCCGUAGAAAUGCGGACUAAUCCCCCAUAGUCCCGCGGGCUGCAUGGCCUGCGGGGGAAAGGGUUUCCGGUAGGGGAUGGGCAUGCGGCGCAUUAGCUAGUUGGCGGGGCAACGGCCCACCAAGGCGACGAUGCGUAGGGGUUCUGAGAGGAAGGUCCCCCACAUUGGAACUGAGACACGGUCCAAACUCCUACGGGAGGCAGCAGUGAGGAAUAUUGGUCAAUGGGCGAGAGCCUGAACCAGCCAAGUAGCGUGCAGGACGACGGCCCUAUGGGUUGUAAACUGCUUUUAUGCGGGGAUAAAGUGUGGGACGUGUCCCAUUUUGUAGGUACCGCAUGAAUAAGGACCGGCUAAUUCCGUG